rnacentral:rRNA from 1 species
CCUACGGGCGGCAGCAGUGGGGAAUAUUGCACAAUGGGCGAAAGCCUGAUGCAGCAAAGCCGCGUGAGCGAUGAAGGCCUUCGGGUCGUAAAGCUCUGUUCUCAAGGAAGAUAAUGACGGUACUUGAGGAGGAAGCCCCGGCUAACUACGUGCCAGCAGCCGCGGUACUACGUAGGGGGCUAGCGUUAUCCGGAAUUACUGGGCGUAAAGGGUGCGUAGGUGGUUUCUUAAGUCAGAGGUGAAAGGCUAGGGCUCAACCGUAGUAAGCCUUUGAAACUGGGGAACUUGAGUGCAGGAGAGGAGAGUGGAAUUCCUGGUGUAGCGGUGAAAUGCGUAGAUAUUAGGAGGAACACCAGUUGCGAAGGCGGCUCUCUGGACUGUAACUGACGCUGAGGCACGAAAGCGUGGGGAGCAAACAGGAUUAGAUACCCUGGUAGUC